UUGGCAAAACACAAAACCUUCGUGUUUUUCAUUCCCACAAACAUUAACUCUGUCUAAAACUCUCUCAUCAACCAAAAACUCGAAGCUCACGGUGUCUCGAGGAAAACUCAGCCAUCGAUAUCUCUCAAAACUCCUCAAAUCUGAGAAUCCUUACCCAAAUCUAGUCUCUCCCUCAACCCCGACAUACUUGCUGUUUCCAUUUGCGUCUGGCUUAAUGGAAUUCUCCACCAGCGACUCAGGAGAUUAGAGGAGGUUUGACUAUUAUUUUUUCGUUUGGGUUAUUGGUAAGCCAAAACCAGGUAGAGCGACAUCAACUAUCCAAGCAUCGAGUGUUCGGAAAUCAUAUCAGACCAUCAAUUCGCAUCAUCAAUUAUUCGACAGUGUCAAGAGUGCGGAUUUGGGCAAAUCUGGGUGUCUUUAUUAGUUUAUGUUUGCGGAUCUUGGAGCCCAACACUGCAAUAGCGGCUGCAAUAUUUGAAUUAAAAGGAAAAGUUUGAGUAUCGUAGCGGAAAACAUUGUUAACUUUUAGGGAUUCAGAUUUGUGUUGUUGCUUGUUAUAGCAUUGCUGAAUUGGAUGGAAGAAAGAAUGCAUCCCUUUAAUCAGGAAAUUCUUUUGAGCUCCAGAAAGUUGGACGGUUUGCCUCGUGGCAUAAUACAAGCUAGGUCGGAUUUAGAACUGAGGCCUUUAUGGCUGACUAGUUCAAAGUUAACGGUUGAUUAAGCAAUCACAAUUUACUGGCUAUUGCAGCUGGUAUUAAGCAGAAACAUAGUGUUGAUGAUAUUGUGCAAAAGAAAACUUUACGAUUAUACUAUUCCAUUAUGAUGGGAAUGUUAAAGGGUGGUGGGAUCUUGAGUGGAGUAACCAGGCCAUACACAUAGUUGCCCACAACCAAACAAAGUGGUGGUUUGCAAAACGAUUUCU